CCAGAUGCAGGAAAGGGUAAGGAUAAAGCAAUCGAACCCUAUCUGUGAUGUGGACCAAGUCACAUCUUGGACAUAACUGUUCACAGUACAUGGAUUCAUUCCCUAAGCCUCUCAGCGGGCAUUUUGUUUUCUUUCUCUGGCUCACGUGUCUUGUCAAUACCCUGUAGCUCCAUGACAGCUUUGUUAUUAAGGAGAAUAAGGGGGCAGGAAGAGUACAAAGUUGGUGGAUACAUACUCGCAAUGACAGGAAUACAGUGCUGGCGCUGACUGCAAAUGAGAGGACAGCAACCACUGCGCAGACGAUGAGAUCCCAUUUUAAGACAUCCGUCUGGAAAGAGAAAACCAGCGGUAAAGGCGACUCUUCAUUUCUCUCAGCAACUCUGUGUAACCAGGUCCUCAUGUGCCCUUGAGCUGUGGACUCCAACACUGCUGUUUGCAAAAAGAAGAUGGCAGGAAAGGAUGGCCCUGCAAAGUGUGCCAUCAUGAGUGAGCAUCUCUGUCUACUCAAACUCUGAUUUUUUCACUGCAGCCGACUUAGUGAGGAAUAUGGGCGCACUAAGUUAUAAAAUAUAAGAAUGACAGAAGGCCUUUCUUGUUGUGUAUGUGUUUGUUCCAACUGAUAGGACUGAAAAAAAAGUAAAGUAAAAAAUAUCAGGAAGGAUAGAAGCAAAUAUUCUUGGGCAGGAGGGCACUGACUGGGAGAUCAAAUUAUGGAUCUGUUCUUAUUUUUUUUCCAACAUGUUUCUGUUUCCUAAUUGAGCUCAGAGGUUCUCUGAAGCAUGGUGCGUAAUCCUUUGGCAUUAAGAAGCUAUUCUGGCCAGGCACGGUGGCUCACGCCUGUAAUCCCAGCACUUUGGGAGGCUGAGGUGGGCGGAUCACUUGAGGUCAGACCAGCCUGGCCAAUAUGGUGAAACCCCGUCUCUACUAAAAAUACAAAAAUUAGCCGGGCAUGGUGGCACAUGCCUGUAAUCCCAGCUACUUGGGAGGCUGAGGCUGGAGAAUCGCUUGAAUCCAGGAGGUGGAGGUUGCUGUGAGCCAAGAUUGAAUCACUGUACUCCAGCUUGGGAGACAGAGCGAGACUCCAACAAAAAAAAAAAAGAAGAAGAAGAAGAAGAAGAAGAAGUUACUCUGCUUCUCAAAUGAUGUAACAGGAAAAGAUGUGUUGAGGAUGCAUAGAAAGGUGGGCUUGUGGUGGGUUGGGCACUGGGGGAGUAAGAAUGAAGAGUUCACUAUCAAAGCAGCAGGAAGAGGAACGGGAAGCCAGAGGGUAGAAUGCCUACCAGGGUUUUCACCUAUAAGGAGCACAAACAAAGCUUACACCAUACCUGGGCACUCUCCCUAGUUCCACUAGAGAGAUUCAAGGGGGCUGUCACAGAAGUUGGGAAAGGAUGAUGUGGGACCAAAGGCUUUGACAGUCUCUUGAGUAAGAUUUCCAGCUGGCAAGCGAGAGAUCCAGCUAGUGAUGUUGGUAGAAGCUGCCCUUUAUCAACUCAGCUGGUCAAUGUGAUCACAGACAAUAACAAGUUGGCAGGUGUGCAAACCCCUGGAUGUCUCUGCAAGAAUUCUCAGAGCAUAUGCCGUCGGGUCAAUACCGGAGCAAUCACUUUGCAUAAAAGGGACAACAACAGCUGAUGCUUGGUGCCCAGCACUGCUCUCUAUGUCUAAGUAUACCAACUCAUUUAAAAUUUUCAGUAAUUUCUGAGGUGGCCAAUAUUUUUGCCUUUAUAUCACAGUUAAGUUUUGCUCAAAGUCAUAUACCUAGUGAAGUGGCAAAGCUGGGAUUCAAACCAUCAGCAGUUUGGCUCCAGAGUCAGGGCUCAAAACCAUACAGUAUGCAGGUGACUUGUUUAAACAGAGCGUUUUAUAUAAAAUACUGCCUAAACCUUAAGUCAAGCAAAGGGAUUGGUGGAAGACUGGGUGAUCUGAGUAUUCAGGACUCCUCCUGGACUGAGAACCGUGCCCAUUCAUGCUGCUACCCUGAUGGCAAAACCAUCCCCAGCAGGCACCGUAACAACCAUUCUUCAGAUGAGCAUUUAUUUUUUUUUUUUUUGAGAAAGAGUUUCACUCUUGUUGCCCAAGCUGGAGAGCAAUGGCGUGA
rnacentral:lncRNA from 1 species